CCUGACUCCUGCGCCAGAGUGGGGCUUGGACCGCGGGUGAGGGAGAAGGCAGGUGGGCUCCGGGGCAGGGGGGCUGGUGGACAAGCCUCGGCCUCCAGCCUUGGGGCCUGCGCUGCCCCAGGUCUGCUCCCCCCUCCCCUGCCCCCCCACCCCCGACCCACGUGCCCACCGUGGUGGAUCUUAACAAUGUCUCCCUAUGGUGCAAGCCCACCUCCCGCUGGCUCUGUGCACUCAGGCUCCUCCCGGCCCUGUCACUAAAUCCUGACUUGCCUACACUGGGACUGCAAGACAUGCCUCACCUCCAGGCGGGACCUGCAGCUCUGCCACAGUGACAGCUCAGGGCAGAUAAGAUCAGCCCCUCAGAGUUCCCAUCGUGGCGCAGCGGAGACAAAUCCGACUAGGAACCAUGAGGUGGCGGGUUCGAUCCCUGGCCUCGCGCUCACCACAACUCGGGAUCCAAGCUGCGUCUGUGACCUUCACCACAGCUCACUCAACACCGGAUACUUAACCCACUGAGAGACACCAGGGAUCGAACCCACAUCCUCAUGGAUACUAGUCAGCGGAGCUGAGUAAAUGUCACCUGUCUGACCGGUUACAACAUCACCUCGGGAAUCCUUUCGCCAACAGACAAGGACCCCCAUUCAACCGACUGGCUCCAAGCUGAGCCUUGGAGAGGUGGCUGGGGACAGGAGGAAAAGACAGAGCCCCCCACGCAUUGCCAGGAUUUCUCUUUCCGUAUCCCAGCCUCCCUGCUCCCUGGGGCACACAGGUGGAUGGCGGAGGCAGCCAGUGAAGGCACCAACCGAGGGGCAGAACCUCCACAUGCCAUGGGCGCAGGCCAAAUGGAGAGAGUGAUGGAGAGAGGAAGAAACGCUGGGAGACACAACCUCCAAGUCUCAAGUGGAAACGGGGAGAGAGGCGUCAUGGGAGGGAGCAGCUCUCGAAGUCCCAGCUGGCCCCCCCUAGCUUCGCAAGGACAGCGCUACCUCUCCUCAUCUCUAAGACACCAUCCACCACUGUACGGCGCACUUUUCCGUAUCACUCAGAAAGAGAAACCGCUGGCGAUUAAAUUUGCCGACACCAUAUCGUGAGCCUUUUCGGGCACACAGAGUUUGGGGAACUAUAUGAUGGACAGGCACAAGCGCGCCACCCAGCCUCUGCCGCUGACAUGUGGUUCUGUCGCACAUCUGUGCCUCGAGCCAUCCAUCAUUCCACCUUUUUUAAAAAAAAUUAUUAAAUAGUUGAUUG
rnacentral:lncRNA from 1 species